rnacentral:rRNA from 1 species
AACGAACGCUGGCGGCAUGCCUAACACAUGCAAGUCGAACGAGAACUUCGGGUCUAGUGGCGCACGGGUGCGUAACGCGUGGGAACCUGCCCUUAGGUUCGGAAUAACUCCCCGAAAGGGGUGCUAAUACCGGAUAAUGUCUUCGGACCAAAGAUUUAUCGCCUUUGGAUGGGCCCGCGUUGGAUUAGCUAGUUGGUAGGGUAAAAGCCUACCAAGGCGACGAUUCAUAGCUGGUCUGAGAGGAUGAUCAGCCACACUGGGACUGAGACACGGCCCAGACUCCUACGCGAGGCAGCAGUGGGGAAUAGUGGACAAUGGGCGAAGUGCUGAUCCAGCAAUGCCGCGUGAGUGAUGAAGGCCUUAGAGUUGUAAAGCUCUUUUACCCGGGAUGAUAAUGACAGUACCGGGAGAAUAAGCUCCGGCUAACUCCGUG